CCGGCGACCGGCGCACGGGUGAGUAACACGUAUGCAACCUGCCCCUGUCAGGGGGAUAACACUUAGAAAUAGGUGCUAAUACCGCAUAAUAGGGAAUACCGCAUGGUAAUCCUUUGAAAACUCCGGUGGUACAGGAUGGGCCCGCGUCUGAUUAGCCAGUUGGCGGGGUAACGGCCCACCAAAGCGACGAUCAGCAGCCGGCCUGAGAGGGUGGACGGCCACACUGGGACUGAGACACGGCCCAGACUCCUACGGAAGGCAGCAG
rnacentral:rRNA from 1 species